AAAUAAUAAAGUAUUUGUUUAAUAAAAUUUAUAGUUUGUGGCAGCUGUUUUUGUAUGUACCGUGUUAUUAAAAUUUAACUUAAGUCAUAACUCAAUUACUAAUGAAUUAAUGCUAUCAUUUUCUACUAAAAGCCUAAUGUUUCUCCCAUCUAUAUUUCAUAAGCAAAUGAUAUUAUUUUCCACAAGUUGCAUUUUCUUUUAAUAAAGGUGAUAAAUUUGGACCUCAUUUUCCAACUCAACUAAAUUGCAUCUUACUUAACAAUUUUCAUAU
rnacentral:misc_RNA from 1 species